CCUACGGGUGGCAGCAGUAGGGAAUAUUGCUCAAUGGGGGAAACCCUGAAGCAGCAACACCGCGUGGGGGAAGAAGGUUUUAGGAUUGUAAAACCCUUUUGUGAGAGAAGAAAAUGACGGUAUCUCACGAAUAAGCACCGGCUAACUCCGUGCCAGCAGCCGCGGUAAUACGGAGGGCGCAAGCGUUAGUCGGAAUGACUGGGCGUAAAGGGGGCGCAGGUGGGUUUGUAAGUCCGAUGUGAAAGCCCGUGGCUUAACUACAGAACUGCAUUUGAAACUAGGGGUCUAGAGUGUAGGAGAGGUAGGUGGAAUUCGUGGUGUAGCGGUGAAAUCCGUAGAUAUCAAGAGGAACACUCAUUGCGAAGGCGACCUUCUGGAACAUUACUGACGCUCAUGCACGAAAGCGUGGGGAGCAAACAGGAUUAGAUACCCCUGUAGUC
rnacentral:rRNA from 1 species